CGCGUAGGCGGCCAUUCAAGUCAGCCGUGAAAGGCCUGGGCUCAACCUGGGAAUUGCGGUUGGGACUGAGUGGCUAGAGAGCGGGAGAGGAUGGUGGAAUUCCCAGUGUAGAGGUGAAAUUCGUAGAUAUUGGGAAGAACACCGGUGGCGAAGGCGGCCAUCUGGACCGUAUCUGACGCUGAGGCGCGAAAGCGUGGGGAGCAAACAGGAUUAGAUACCCUGGUAGUCCACGCUGUAAACGAUGAGUGCUGGACGUUGGUGGGCUUGCCUGCCGGUGUCGCAGCUAACGCGUUAAGCACUCCGCCUGGGGAGUACGGCCGCAGGUUGAA
rnacentral:rRNA from 1 species